AGCGAAGGUUGGAAAUGGUAUAAAUGGAUGUUGGAAGCAAGAGAGGUGGCAUUGUUUGCAAUUUCCAAGCAUCUAAUUUGAGAAGUGUCUUCCAGUCACCGUAACCGAAUCAAUCACCAUGGCCAAGGCUCUCUUCCUCGUUCUCGCUGCCGUCCUCAUCGUGGCUGUCGUCGCCGACUUCGACUUCGAAGAUGAAGAAGCUCUUGAUGAGAUGCUCUCCUUUGAGAAGAGGGGAAGCAUGAUGAACAAGUACAGAUUCUGUAUGAAGGGCCAGAAUAGCUGUUGGUGUAAUAAGAAGACCAGGAAGGUUGUCUUCUGCAAUGGCAAGGGAAAGGCCUAAACACUUCUCGAUAUCACCCCUUCAUCCUAAUGAGAAACCAAAUUGAAAAUUUAUCCUGCCACCAUCCACCCACCGGAGUCAAUUCCAACCAACAGGAGGUAGCAAGCUUCCUCUUCUCUCAGAUUUGAAGUCUUUAUUUUUGUAUUAAAAGUGCCCUGUCCUUUUUUGGAAGACCACGUGCGUGUACGGACGAUCCCACCGUGGUAAAAAUGUCCAUGAUUUGAUAAAAUUGUGAAUUUGCCAGAAUAAUAAAUGCCCUUCCAUAUAA